rnacentral:rRNA from 1 species
GUACGCCUACGGGACGCAGCAGUGGGGAAUAUUGCACAAUGGGGGAAACCCUGAUGCAGCGACGCCGCGUGAGCGAAGAAGUACCUCGGUAUGUAAAGCUCUAUCAGCAGGGAAGAAGAUGACGGUACCUGACCAAGAAGCUCCGGCUAAAUACGUGCCAGCAGCCGCGGUAAUACGUAUGGAGCAAGCGUUAUCCGGAUUUACUGGGUGUAAAGGGAGCGCAGGCGGCCUUGCAAGUCUGAUGUGAAAGGCCGGGGCCCAACCCCGGGACUGCAUUGGAAACUGAGAGGCUGGAGUGUCGGAUG